UAAGCACCAAACAAUAGAUACCAGCAUCAAAAGAAGGUUUGGAUACAACCUUCUUUCGUUUUGUUUGGAUACAAGGAGCUAGUUUGGGUCUGCUCCUUUAAUGUAUCUAUGCUCAUAUUUUCCUUUCUCGAUUAUAAAAUAAAUUAGAGGUGAACACUGUGGUUAGCCAUAGAUUAACCAAGAAAGCAGAAAUCAUCUCAAAUGUUCACAGCGGAAGGAAUGGAAAGCAGAGAUGGGUCCAUGAAGAGUGGAGAGGCUGAGAAUUAAACAGCGGGCUCUAAAAUAAUCCUGGGAGAUUGACGAUAGCAGGAAGUCUUUAUCAUUCUCGGGCUGGAGAGACAAAAGGAAAACAUGCAAUUACUGGCACCAAGAGGACCACUCUGGGAGACUGGAUCUCUGGUGGCCUCGAUACAAUGGGGGCUGGAGUCACAGAGAAGAUAAAGCCACUGGAGAGGCCACCUUAGGCUGAAAACAGGAGGGAGUGUCUUGAUAGCUCCCUCCCCCAAAAACCACUCCUCACCCUGCUCUCUAAUUUUCCAUGGUUGAUACAUUCCUGCUGCCUAUUGACUCAAUCCUUUCAGAAAUUCUCUAGAGCCUGAAAAAGUCACCCUGCCGAGGAUCAACUUCUUCCCCCCAGAACAAGGCAGAGCAGAAGGAUGGAUCUGAGUGCAAACAGGUCCAGGACCAGCACACCGUAUGGUCAAGUGUUUUUAUGGUGUUAUAUAAUAGAAUACAUCAUUGAAUUCAACUGCUUCAUUUUACAGAGAGGAGCUAGGGUCCAGAGAGAUGAAACUGUUUACCUAAAUGCACACACACAGCAAACUUUUAGGUCUGAACACACAGCAUGCUUUUAUUAGGAUUGUAUUAGUUAUGACACUGCUUAAGCCCUAUUAUAAAGUUCUUGGGAGCUGAGUCAUUUCAUAGUCAUCCCUAGUACCUGAUACAGCAUCUGGUGCUUAGAAAACUCUCAAUAAAACAUUUACUGAAUUCAUACAGAUUGAAAGAGAAAACAUAGCCUAUCAACUGAUCUAAGGUAGCUUCAGAAAAUUUCCAGUCAUAUAAGAGUUACUGAGCAAAGACUGUCAAAACAAAGCAAAGUCUUUGUUAAACAAAGACUGUCAAAAUUAUGCCUCUUAAAUGUUUCAAAAGGGAAUCAUACAUUCUCACUGGCCUGUGACGGUUUAGAUUUUCUAUGAUUCAGAACAAGAACAAAGAUAUGUUUCUUUUAACUCUCAUACUAAACUGUUAUUUGAAAUAAUAAAAAGGAUGUCAGCAGUGAAAAGCUGUACAGGCUGUACAGAACAGAUUGAUACAAAUAAAAAACGAAUAAAUAUUUAUGUGGCCAUGUGUGGGAGGCGUUGCCUGGAGUGUUUCCCCCACAUCCCUGACUAUGGAGUGAAAAAGGAAACUUAGGAAAAAAUAUACCCAAAGAGGGAGAUUUAAAUAGCACAGUGGGCAGUGGGGGAAGUGAUGACUAAUAUUGCUGUUAGUAGUGGUUUAGGAACAAAAGAGACAAGUCAGCUGGAAACCUUCUGGUGUCUUCUGCUAGGGCUCCUUGCUAAAGCUGAUGCUGGAAAGGAGGAAGGAAGGAAAGAAGGAAGGAAAAGAGGGAGAGAGGGAGCGAGGAAGGAAGGAAGGGAAGUCAUUAGAAUGUAAGCUGAACACCCAUUUGGUGCUUUUGGCCAAACAAUAAUACACAUGUUUGAAAGUUCAUUUUGGUGGGAACCCAACUUAAGUAGAAUUAAUGAAAUUGAUACAGAACUUGAAAUUCACUACCUAAAAUUAUUCAUUAAAAAUGCAACAUGCAUUGAAUUAAUGUAGCAGCACCUGAAGGAAGUCAAAGAAACUCCAGUUUGAAUUUUGGGAGAAAAGAAAGUACCAUUUAAUUUGAAAUAAAUGAAGAGAACCUAAAAGAGCAAAUGGCUAAAUAAGUAGAAGAGGUUUUUUGCAACCUAUAAUUACUGGGGGAUUUUUUUCAGGAAGCUUCAGGAAAGAAGCUCUGACCCUUAGAUUAGUCAUUCGUCACCCAAUCACUGGCUGCUAAAUUAGAGGCCAGAAAAAAGAGAUCAGACAUGUGCAAGAAGGAAGAAGAAGAAGGAAGAGGAGAAGGAGGAGGAGGGUGGGGGAGAGGGAAGAGGAAGGGAAGGAAGGGGAAGCAGCUGUCACUUUUUUGUUUCAGUGAAACUAUACAGAGCAAAAUCCCAUUAGAGCUUUCUGAGAAGUUAUGUCUGGGACAGAUCUGAUGGUAGGCUUGAAACUUUGAACAGAGUCCAAGAAAAAUCCCUUUUUUUUUUUUUUUUUUGGUUUUGUAGAAUUUAGAACUAUUUUUCUAGGUGGCUGAAAUAAAAUAAAAUUUUAAGUAGUUGAAAUGUUAAGUAAAUUGUUUUCAACAAUUUGCAGAUUUAUGUCAGAAUAUAUGUUAUGGGAUUCAGCAGAUAAAAUAAUAAUAUUAAACAUCAAAGUAAGAAUAGUGUGAGAGAUGAAUAAUUUAAGGCAAUUUUAGUUGCAUGAGGUUUUUUUUCUUUUUCUUAUGAAUAAAAAUAUAAUUUUAUUACUCUGUAGAGAGGUGAGUAAACUAGGAGAAACUCGAGGGGAAAUGCAAAACAUAAUAAAAUAGAAUACAUUCGAUUUUAAAAGAAUGUCGGUAUUUCAUUUGAGUGCUGGCCAAAAGAUAAUGAAAUUUCUUGGAUGAAAAGCAGUUAUCAGAAUUUAAAAUUUCAAAAACCUGUAUUAGGAAGACACAUCACUUAUGUGGUAUGUAGUAUUCUUGUCAACAAUAUUUUGUCUAAAUCUAAUCAUGAUGAAACAAUCAGAAAAAUCCAAAUUGAGAACAAUCUGUAAAAGGAAUGGUCUUUGUUUUGUUACAUGUAUACAUAUAUGUAAAUAUAUAUCCCCAAAGCCGACCUUGAGAAGGAAAUUCACUGAGCCAUUCCUUACGAGUGUUCCCAGGAGAAACAGGAAAGUGAGAAGUCAAGUCGGUCCAAGAAGAAUAAAGAGGCCAAGCCCAGUUGCAUAUCAGCAAUCUCACAGAGAGAACUGCCUCAGUCCCUCGAGGGUAAGUAGAUGACCUCAGAGUUGUCCCGUCAGUUGCUGCUUCAGAGCCACACUUUCAGCUCAUCCUUGCACUUCAUGCAAUCUGUGAGCCCCACAGGCAGAGCAGGUCCUAGCUGCCUGAGGUUAUUCCCUAUGAGAGAAGCAGAUCUAGGUUCCCACAGCAGAGUCUCUGCUGUAACUAAACAGAAGGCUUCAUUCAUGGUUGGAUUAAGGAUGGGGGAAGGGCAGGUGGCUAUGAAGGUUAUUACUUGGACCACAGGGACAAUUUUUAAAUGAGCUGUACAUUAAAUAUUUAAUUUUAUUGUUGUUAAAUUUUGAAUGUGAUAAUUAUGUCACGCUUAUGUGGAAGAAUAUCCAUGUACUUAUAAGAUACAUACUGAAGUAUUUAGGACAAAAAUGCUGUGUCUAAACUUAUUCUCUAAUAGCCUCACAAAAGAAAAGUAAUAUUGAUGUGUAUGUGUGAGUAUAUGAAUGUAUAUACACACAUACAUGUAUACAUAUACAUUUAGUAUGUUUAUGUAUACAUGUUUGUAGACAGAUUAAAAUAGAGGAAAAUAUGGAAAAAUGUAAACAAAUGGUGACUCUAAGUAAAAAGAUAUAUAGAUAUUUAUUAUACUAUUAUUUUAACCUGUAAGUUUAAAAUUUUUCAAAACAAAUAGUAGGAGAAACAAAUUAGCACUUGUCAUGGUAACUUUUUUUCAAGAAAAGUUGUGUUUAAGAUCAAACCAGGUGCGGUGGUUCAUGCCUGUAAUCCCAGUACUUUGGGAGGCCAAGACAGGAGGAUUACUUGACCCCAGGAAUUUGAGACCAGCCCUGAUAACAUAGUGAAAACUGUUGCUACAGAAAAUUUAAAAAUUGGCUUGGCAUGCGUCUCUUUGUGCAGCCCAUGCUGGAGUGCACUGGCGCGAUCUUGGCUCACUGCAGCCUUGACCUCUGGAGCUCAAGUGAUCCUCUCAUUUCAGCCUCCAAGUAGCUGGGACCACAGGUGCGCCACCCAACCUGGUUAAUUUUUGUAUUUUGUGUAGAGACAGGGUUUUGCCAGGUUGCCGAAUCUAGUCUCGAACUCCUGGGCUCAAGCCAUCCAUCCACCUGGGCCUUACGAAGUGCUGGGAUUAUAGGUGUGAGCCACUGCAUCCAGCCAGGACUUCUGAUUUCUUUACUGUUUAUUAGAGGAUGGACCCUAUUCCCUCCAAUCAUAACUCACUUUUUAAAGCAGUGAUUCUCAGCCCUUUUGGUUUCAAAUUUUUGGUAGCCUAUUUAAGGAGGAGGUUAAGAUACCCAAAAUAUCGCCAAUCAAGUCCUGAAUCAUUACAGUGCAUACUUGCACCGUAAAAUUCUGUCCCAGAGUGUCUGAAAAGUAUCCAUAACAACCGGUCAGCUUCAUGUAACUAACUGCUUCAGUGGAAAUGAUUAUUGUCUUGACCUCAUUCCUUUAUACUUAAAAGGACAAAUUUCUCAUAUGUUCCAGAAAGUAUGCCAUCUUUAUUUAGCACUAGGCAGCUCAUCUCUUACUUGCAGCAAGUUGUACCCAGUCUACAUAAUUUCUAUAACCUACUACUCCAUCCAGCAGUUAUUUUUGACCAGCACUGCUGCAAUCAUACAUAUACUUGUUUAAGCAGAAGUUAGUCUUACACAUUGGUUUUGACAAUACCACUGUUUCACAGAUAUUUCCUGUUCUGUCUCCUUACAUCCAUAUGGUAAGAUUGUACAUGCUGGUCCCCUUGCGGUGGGGUUAGGUGACCAGUUCUAGCACUUGUCACCCAUAAGUGAUGAGUAGAAGUGACAAUCCACUUCUGGGCCAGAGUACUUAAAUGUUGAUGGUAAACCCACCACAUUUCUCUCUUUUGCUUCCAGCACAGUGACCCAUGAUAUUCAAGGUGGUGGCUGCUUUGUCAGAUGAAUUCCUGAGUGACCAUAAGCAGAGAUCUCCUAACGACCCAUGAUGGGUAGUGUGAGCAAGUAUGAGCCGUCUAGUGGAGCAAGAAAUAGUGCCUAUAUAAGCACUGAGAUUUGAAGAUGGUUUGUUACCAGAGAAUUGCCUACCUUAUCCUGACUGAUAAUCAGAUGUAAUAAUAUACCUCUGACUGGUGUUGGCUCCAUCAUACACCAGGGAAACAGCUGUUGUCUAGUACUUAUAACAUGUAACUCAAAACCCCUGGUUUAAAUGAAUUCCUGAGUGCAUUAUGCAUAACAUUUGUAUAACUGGCUUUUGUAAACAAGACAUUGCUAUAGUUCUUCACAGAAUUAUGCUAAUAUCGAUAGAUUAUUCUUCAUUUAUCUUUAUCUGUUCUGAGCGACUGAAAGAGGAAAGAUUUGUUAUGAGAACACAUAAAUACAGUAUCAUGAAAGGGAAAGAAAAAGUUCUGUUUUGCGGAAGGCAUUAGUCCCCUUUGUUAGUCAAAUGAAGAGAGACUAUUCAUUAUACUUUAAUCUUAAGGAAUCCAAGAUUGCUAAACUAAUGGAUGACAUGUGACUAAGGAAUGAAUUAGUUGAACUUUAUUCUAUGAGUUGCCACCAUGAACUGUGCCAGGUCCUUUAAAUGCUUUGAAUGUUUUUCAUGCACGGAUAAGAUUAUUUCAGACCUACCAGGCCUUGAAGAAGGAUCAAAGUCUUGUCAGAGCUUUUGCCUAAAAUUGAAAAUAUCAUGUUACUUGGAUUAUUUAUUUAUCCCUGCACCUUGUUGCAAAAAGGAUUUUAAGUAGAUGGCAUAUUAUUAUUUUAUUAACACGUUAAAAAAAAACCCAUAAGAGGAUUAUAGAGUUUUUCCCUAUCCUACUUCUCAGAGUGUUUUAAGCACACUGUAGAAUUUAUUCACUCAUGAAUUUGAUACAAACUAAAGUGAAAAUCUCUUCUCUGGAACCUCAUAGUGCUUAGAAAGCAUAGUAACACGUUCAGAGAAAGAGGAAGAUCAAAUUUAGAGGAAGCUCGUGUUUGAGUUUCUGCCACAAUGAGUUUCCCAUUCUAGAUAUUAAAAUAAUAGUAUAUACCCCAAAUAAAAUACUCAAGUUUCUGUAAAUUAAGGAUUAUGACUUGAUUAUACAUAUUUUAGAUUUAGAGCAUGCAUAAAAAAUAUCUUUUUCACCAACUAGUAGAAAAAAAUUCGAAAUGUGAUGAUUUUAAUCUUUCAUGAUAUGUAAUCUAAAAUAUCAAAACAUCACUGACUUUGCAUUAUAAUUAAAUAUAAAAGGUGACUGACUUAAGCCAAAUUUAAAAAAAAAAUUGAGACAAGGUCUGUGUCACCAGAGGUGUUAAGCAGUAGUGCAAACACAGCUCACUGCAGCAUUGACCUCCCGGGCUCAAACUCUCCUCCCAUCUCAGCCUCCCAGGCAGCUGAGAUCACAGAUACACACCACCACACCCAGAUAAUUUUUUUUUUUAAGUAAGGACAAAAUCUCACUAUGUUGUCCAGGUUCCAAAUAAAUUUUAAGAGCCUAAUUUUAACUAUUCAAAAACUAAGCAAAUACCUGAAAAUUAUUUCUUCUGAAAAACACAUACUAAAUAAAAAUCUACUAUACUUAUGGAUUUUCAGAGGUCUUCAUAAAUAUUAACUCAUAAAUUCUUGUGGCUUUCCCAAUUGUCACAUGUCUCCUUUCAUGAAAUAUUUUGUAAAUUUUUACUAUGGUAUUGGACAGAGCAUGAACCUCAGAAUUGCCCAAAUCUGAGUUCACCAACUUAAUCAAGCACAUAUUAUUAAUAUAUAACCUUGGAUAAUUUAUCAAUUUAAACUGAAGAGCUUUAUCUUCAACAUUUCUAAAUUAUGCGUGUUAUAAACAAUAAAUCAGGUUAUUCCAUUACAUUUAAUAACUAGCAACCCACACUGUGAUAAGUGUCAGUAAUGCAACAGCACGGUAAUAUAUAGGCAAAGCACCAACCAGAAAUUAAGUAUCUGUUGAAUUUCUCUCUACUCUCCUUUUCCCUCAACCAAUUCCUGAAUAAAUGGAGGGAGAAACAGGAAUGUUUUAAGAAAUCUUCUUCAACUAAUAUGAAAUAGGAUAUCUGAAGACUCACCCUUCUGUCUUCCUAGUCUAUAGUUUGUUCCACAGCUAUUUUUGUGACUAAAGAUACUAAAAUUAGACAUUACUUUUAUCUCUAAAUUUCAAGGCAGUUGUUAAGAACUAUGACUAAACUACCAAAAUAAAGAAACAUAGAGGAAUAAUGAACAUUGACUACAAACUAAACUGAUUGUCACAUAUUCUAUGUGGUGAUUUGAGAGACUGCUUCUCAUACACUGUAAUUCAAUGAAAAAAAUAGCAUAUACAAAAUGAUUACUUAGUAAGAAAAAUUCAAACUUAAAACGAGUUGUCAAUGUGACAUGCCAUGUUAGAAAUGAAUAAUAAAAUGUGUGCCAAGGGCUAAGUAAGGCAUUUUUCCCUUUUUUUCUCUUUUAAAAAGUACUACAAAAGAGCAGUUUUUUUGGUUAAAAGAAUUAAUGAAAAUUGCUAAGUCAAUGACGCUUUCAGAAGUUCCCUGUUUUUGACAUCAGAGUCAUAUUAUAAUGCUCUAUUUUCUGUUUCCUCACCUAAAUAGAAUUUUGCUUGAGGUAAUUUUUUAUCUGAACUUCUGUUUGUAGAAACCAGGGAUAUUUAUCGAAUUGUUUCUGGCUGGCUAUUUGAUCGUAACAAAGCAUUUAAAUGGUACUGAUCCCCUGGCUUGAGCAACGGAGCAUCCCAGACUUUCAGUUAGUUGCACACAGCACACAUACAACUCAUUUGAGUUACAGCUAAAUGCAAUUACAGGCCUCAGAGCUAAUAUAUAGAUCACUUCUUAUUUAAGGCAAUUCACCUUUGAAUUGGUUAACCUUUAAUUGUUUACAAAAUACUAAGAUGGGAAACAAAGUUGCUACCCAAUAUGUCAGUUUCCCCAAAUAAACACUUAUUUAAAGGUUCAUUUGUUAAUCAAGUAUCUGGAAGUUGAAAUACAUUUUUAUGAAAGGAAAUAAAUUUUAGGUGAUGAUUAGGUUUUUAUCAAGAGCUGAAGUUUUUAAUAAUGGACAGGGAGAGAUACUAUGGCAAAACAGUAAUUGAAUAAAACAUAAAUUCCAUAAAAUGAUAUGAAAAAUCAAUGACAUUUAUCCUGAGUCAAAUAUAAAGAGAAUUAAAUUGAGGAUGAUAAAAUGUUUCUAAUCAUUGUUCCACCAGUAUUUGACCUUGAGCAAACUGCCUGGGGGCCAUAUUUGGUAGACAGAUGAGGAUGUACACUUUCUUUUAAAUACUUGAGAAUUAGCUUGAGUGCUAUCAUUUGAUAACUUGCUCGGUAUUUCAUAAAUGCCAGGAAAUUAACUCAAAUCCUUUGAUGAGCUGCAUUUUCUGUAUUCAAUUUGUGUAAGUUCAACAAAUAUUUAUUGAGGGUCUUCCAUAUGCUGGGUAUGUGUCUUCGCAAAAUAAAGUACAUUAUGAAAGAUGUGAUGCUCAAUAGUAUAUCAUCAGUGAAUUGCAAAUUAAAAUCUAAAUGAGAUAUCACUAUAUAUCCACUGGAUUGUCUAAUAUUUUAAAGUUGUCAGUAUUAAAUAUUGGGAAAAAUGUGGAGCAGCUGGAACACUCAUACAUUGCCAGUGGGAGAUUAAAAUGGUGCAGCACUUUGUAAAGCUAAACAUAUAUUUACUAUACUACCCAAUAAUACCACUAAGUAUUUACGAAGAGAAAACAAUUGUCUACACAAAGACUUGUACAUGAAUGUUCACAGUAGCUUUAUUCAUCAUAGCUAAAAACUGGAAACAACUCAAAAACAGAAAAGUAAAUUGAUGAGCAAAUUGUGGUAUAUCAAUUUAAUGGGAUACCAUCCAACAAUGAAAUAAAUAAUGAAUGAUAACACUGAUUGACAUCAAUAAUUUCAAAAUCAUUAUCCUAUGUUAAUGAAGCCAGACACAAAUAAGUACUUUGUAUAUUAUUUUAUUUGCAUAAAAAUUUAUAACAGGAAAAUCUAAUCUAUAAUGGCAAAAAGUAGAUUCGUGGUUGUCUGAGCUAAGGGUAGAGGAAGAUUGAUGGACUGCAAAAUGCAAAAGGGAACUCCUUGAGGGUGAUGGAAAUAGUCUAUAUCCUGAUUAGCAAGGUGGUUACAUGCAUGUAUACCUUUCUCAAAACUCAUAGAACAUACACUUAAAAUGUGCAGUGCUGGCUGGGUGCAGUGGUAUGGCUCACACCAAUAAUGAACAGGGAGAGAUACUAUGGCAAAACAGUAAUUGAAUAAAACAUAAAUUCAAUAAAAUGAUAUGAAAAAUCAAUGUUUGACAUUUAUCCUGAGUCAAAUAUAAAGAGAAUUAAAUUGAGGAUGAUAAAAUGUUUCUAAUCAUUGUUCCACCAGUAUGUGACCUUGAGCAAACUGCCUGGGGGCCAUAUUUGGUAGACAGAUGAGGAUGUACACAGUGGUAUAGCUCAUACCACUGCACCCAGCCAGCACUGCACAAUAAAUGUCAAACAUUGAUUUUUCAUAUCAUUUUAUGGAAUUUAUGUUUUAUUCAAUUACUGUUUUGCCAUAGUAUCUCUCCCUGUCCAUUAUUAAAAACUUCAGCUCUUGAUAAAAACCUAAUCAUCACCUAAAAUUUAUUUCCUUUCAUAAAAAUGUAUUUCAACUUCCAGAUACUUGAUUAACAAAUGAACCUUUAAAUAAGUGUUUAUUUGGGGAAACUAACAUAUUGGGUAGCAACUUUGUUUCCCAUCUUAUUAUUUUAUAAACAAUUAAAGGUUAACCAAUUCAAAGGUGAAUUGCCUUAAAUAAGAAGUGAUCUAUAUAUUAGCUCUGAGGCCUGUAAUUGCAUUUAGCUGUAACUCAAAUGAGUUGUAUGUGUGCUGUGUGCAACUAACUGAAAGUCUGGGAUGCUCCGUUGCUCAAGCCAGGGGAUCAGUACCAUUUAAAUGCUUUGUUACGAUCAAAUAGCCAGCCAGAAACAAUUCAAUAAAUGUCCCUGGUUUCUACAAACAGAAGUUCAGAUAAAAAAUUACCUCAAGCAAAAUUCUAUUUAGGUGAGGAAACAGAAAAUAGAGCAUUGUAAUAUGACUCUGAUGUCAAAAACAGGGAACUUCUGAAAGCGACACUGAUUUAGCAAUUUUCAUUAAUUUUUUUUAGUCCUCUACGACCGGCAGCUAGCAACUUGACAGGAAAAUACAGGAACCUGAAUAAACCUGACCCGUCUUCAGCAUCGUUUAUAUACUGCGGUUAUGCCCACGGAGGUUCCUGGACUGCAUGUUUUGAUUGGAUGAGAAAAAACCUCCAGGCUUACUCUGAUUGGACUUUAUUAUCAUGUUCUGAUUGGUUGAGAGCAAGUCUUAACACAGCCAAUCACAGCAUGAAAAUAAAGUCCAAUCAGAGUAGGCCUAGAGGUUUUUCUCUCGUCCAAUCAGAACAUGUAGUCCAGGAAACGCAUUUGCAUAACCUCAGUAUAUAAAGCAUGCUGAGGUCGCAUCACGUCAUUUCAAGCUCUUGUGUAUGGAGGGAAGGAGCUACCCUGUGACCGGCUUAGAGAACUGGAAGAGACCGCAACCUUCCUUCUGCUUGAGGUUGGAGGAUGGAUGGAGCCUGGAGCCCUGGAGCGUGGGACACUGUUUCGCUGUGGUUGGUGGUGGCGACAGAGCAGUAGGAGAGCGGCCGGCAGCGGGAGCUUCUCCUGCUAGGCUGGAGGACUAGGAGAAGGAAGAGGCACUGCCACAUGCUGGAGGCUGGAGCCUGUGCCACUGUGGCUGGCCUCGCUGUGGUUGGCUCGCCUCGCUGUGGUUGGCUCGCCUCGCUGUGGUUGGCUCACCUCGCUGUGGUUGGCUCGCCUCGCUGUGGUUGGUGGUGACGUCGGAGACUGCAGCUCGGCCACAGUGGUAGAAAUGUGAUGGGGUAGUGGUACAUGAUCAGCAUUGUCCACAUUUACAAUCGAUGGAGGAACAAUGAAAUUCAGUGUUACGUUAAUGGACAACUGGUAUCUUAUGGUGAUAUGGCUUGGCAUGUUAACACAAAUGAUAGCUAUGACAAGUGCUUUCGUGGAUCAUCAGAAACUGCUGAUGCAAAUAGCGUAUUCUGUGCUCAACCUGUUGCCGUUCAGUGAAGCACUCAGCCCAGCACAGAUACUUGCAAUUCAUCAGUUAGGACCUAGAUAUAAGGGAAGUUGGAAAUAGGCAAGAAUGGAGAGAAAUUUUGUAUGGCAGUACACAGAAUUUUGCAAGUUUUUUGUGAGCCCUGCAACAAUCCGAUGCAUUUUAGUUACUGUGCUACUCUUUCGACAUUCCUGGUUGAACUACUUAAAAGUUCAGUAGCCAUGCAAGAACAGGUGCUGGGUGGAAAAGGCUUUUUAGUUAUUGGCUAAUUACUUGAAAAGUCAUCAAGAGUUCAUGUAACUAGACCUGUCUUGGAGCAAUUUUUAUCUUUUGCAAAAUACCUUGGUGGUUUAUCUCAUGGAGCACCUUUGCUGAAGCAGCUUUGUGAUCAUAUUUUGUUUAUUAACCCAGCC